rnacentral:rRNA from 1 species
CAAUAGCGUAUAUUAAAGUUGUUGCGGUUAAAAGCUCGUAGUUGGAUUUCUGCUGAGGACGACCGGUCCGCCCUCCGGGUGAGCAUCUGGUUCGGCCUUGGCAUCUUCUUGGUGAACGUAUCUGCACUUGACUGUGUGGUGCGGUACCCAGGACUUUUACUUUGAGGAAAUUAGAGUGUUUCAAGCAGGCAUACGCCUUGAAUACAUUAGCAUGGAAUAAUAAGAUAGGACCUCGGUUCUAUUUUGUUGGUUUCUAGAGCUGAGGUAAUGAUUAAGAGGGACAGACGGGGGCAUUCGUAUUACGGUGUUAGAGGUGAAAUUCUUGGAUCGCCGUAAGACGAACUACUGCGAAAGCAUUUGCCAAGAAUGUUUUCAUUAAUCAAGAACGAAAGUCAGAGGUUCGAAGACGAUUAGAUACCAU